UCCACAAGACUGGACCUCAGCAGUCUCACUCUGAGGACAGAAGCAGAGAUGCUUCCUGGAGAGCAGGAAAGGUUUUUCCAUGAGAAAAGCUUGAAAACACUGGUUCUGCUAUCUUCGAAGGAAUCAACAGCAAAUCCAUUUGGCACCACAGGGAAGGCCAUGUUAGCAAAAGGUGAGAAAAUCCUCCUCCUACCAUACUCUUAAUCUCUGCCUGAGACCAGAUGGUUAGUGUGCCUUCCAUUACUCCAGAUGUUCUUGAGGAAGAAUCCUGAGCACAGCCCCAAACAACUGGAAACUGGUUCCUGUAUCAGCAGGGGCUAAGUUUCCUGACCAGCGAGAGUCAAGAGCCACAACCAGCUUUCAUCAGUGGGUGUCAAGAUCACCCCCUUCCAGUAGAAAACGUACCAUUGCCUCUUUCAGAUACAUCAUUCAUUAACUACAAAAAUCUGAACAUCUGGGAAAGACAGAACACCAAGUCCUGAAGAAAAGGAAAGAAGCAACUUUAAGCUUCGGGAUUGGAGAGGCCUAAUGUAAAUUCAUUAAAUGGACUCUGCCGUG